UACGAAGGGGGCAAGCGUUGUCCGGAUUUAUUGGGCGUAAAGAGCGUGUAGGCGGCCAGACAGGUCCGUUGUGAAAACUAGAGGCUUAACCUCUAGACGUCGAUGGAAACCGUUUGGCUAGAGUCCGGAAGAGGAGAAUGGAAUUCCUGGUGUAGCGGUGAAAUGCGCAGAUAUCAGGAAGAACACCCGUGGCUAAGGCGGUUCUCUAGUACGGUACUGACGCUGAGACGCGAAAGCGUGGGGAGCGAACAGG
rnacentral:rRNA from 1 species